GCUGGGAGUUCAAUCCACCAUCGGCGCCCCACAUGGGUGGAUCAUGGGAGCGCAUGGUACGCUCUAUAAAAACAGCUAUGUCGGCCAUUGCGAAUCAUCAGCAUCAUCCAAGCGACGAAGUCUUGCAAACGGUAGCUACGGAGGCGGAAGCGAUUGUUAAUUCUAGACCAUUAACGUAUGUCCCAUUGGACUCAGCAGAACAAGAGGCUUUAACGCCCAACCAUUUCCUGCUGUUUGGUACCAGGGGCAUAGUUCAACCAGCAACUUCGGUUACUUCAGUAGGAAACAGUUUGAGGGAUAGUUGGCGCCUUGCGCACUACUUGGUGGAUCAAUUCUGGGGUAGGUGGAUACGAGAGUACCUACCCACCAUAACUAGACGCACUAAGUGGUUCGAUCCAGUUAAGCCGCUAGAGGUAGGAGAUCUAGUGCUGGUCGUCGAGGAGAACAAACGCAACGGUUGGCUGAGAGGACGAAUAGUAGAAGUGACCAAGGCAUCGGAUGGUCAAGUUCGGAGAGCAAUCGUGCAAACAAAGAAUGGCUUCCUAAAUCGACCUGCGGUAAAGAUAGCUCCACUGGACCUUCGGACAUCUGGUCGGUCCAGAACUACACGGGCGGGAGGAUGUAACGAACCCACUGGGCAUAUACGUGAGUGAGUUCAGUACCGCCCCUAGCUGUCAACGUCAGGUGAUCUUUGGCAGGAUAAAACGAUACCAGAACCUGAACGGAAAACAAAAAUACACAGAUAGUCACGUGCAUUCGAGAUAUUUUCCAAUAUAAUAUUAAAACGUAGUGAAUUCGACAACUAAACUUAUCUGCUACUUAACUUAGGCCCUAGUUUAUGCUUAUUGUUAAUGAAAAGAAAGGUGCCUAAGAACAUAGUACGGUUGAGUGAUUAGUAAGCUAAAUUAAAAAAGUACGCUAUUGAAUUUCUACAAGUCACAUAAGAAGAACAUUGAAGAACUAGUUUCGGAGAGGACAAAAAAUAAGAAGAAAACGAAUAUUUUUGAAGCUGUCUAUCACCUGCUAUCGGAACUCAUAUUCUUCAUUCAUACCUCCGAAACAAGUAUUCAACCUAUCAUAGCCUAUAAUCCGAGGCUUAAUCGAAUUUGAGUGAUGUCGGUAGUUCCGGAUUUCG